rnacentral:rRNA from 1 species
GACGAACCGUGCGAACGUUGUUCGGAAUCACUGGGCUUAAAGGGCGCGUAGGCGGUCUGUCAAGUCGGGAGUGAAAUCUUUCGGCUCAACCGGAAAACUGCUUUCGAUACUGACAGGCUGGAGGGAGGUAGGGGUUGCGGGAACUACCAGUGGAGCGGUGAAAUGCGUUGAUAUUGGUAGGAACGCCGGUGGCGAAAGCGCGCAACUGGACCUCUUCUGACGCUGAGGCGCGAAAGCUAGAAGAGCAAACGGG